UACGAAGGGGGCUAGCGUUGUUCGGAAUUACUGGGCGUAAAGCGCGCGUAGGCGGUGAUCUUUGUCAGAGGUGAAAUCCCGAGGCUCAACUUCGGAAUUGCCUUUGAAACGGGAUCGCUUGAGUCCGAGAGAGGAUGGCGGAAUUCCUAGUGUAGAGGUGAAAUUCGUAGAUAUUAGGAAGAACACCAGUGGCGAAGGCGGCCCGCUGGGCAGUGGCUGACGCUGAGGCGCGACAGCGUGGGGAGCAAACAGG
rnacentral:rRNA from 1 species